rnacentral:rRNA from 1 species
CCUACGGGAGGCAGCAGUGAGGAAUAUUGGUCAAUGGCCGUAAGGCUGAACCAGCCAAGUAGCGUGAGGGAAGACUGCCCUAUGGGUUGUAAACUUCUUUUAUAAAGGAAUAAAGUGAGGCACGUGUGCCUUUUUGUAUGUACUUUAUGAAUAAGGAUCGGCUCACUCCGUGCCAGCAGCCGCGGUAAUACGGAGGAUCCGAGCGUUAUCCGGAUUUAUUGGGUUUAAAGGGAGCGUAGAUGGGUUGUUAAGUCAGUUGUGAAAGUUUGCGGCUCAACCGUAAAAUUGCAAUUGAUACUGGCAGUCGUGAGUACAGUUGAGGUAGGCGGAAUUCGUGGUGUAGCGGUGAAAUGCUUAGAGAUCACGAAGAACUCCGAUUGCGAAGGCAGCUUACUAAACGGCCACUGACAUUGAUGCUCGAAAGUGUGGGUAUCAAACAGGAUUAGAUACCCGGGUAGUC